rnacentral:lncRNA from 1 species
CUAUGUACAUUUAAGCAAGAUUUUCCUGAACCUGUUCUACUUUAAAUGGCAAUUAAAAACCAAACCAGCGUCUCUGACUUCCUGCUCCUGGGCUUCUCUGCACACCCUGAGCAGCAGCCUCUCCUGUUCGGACUCUUCCUGGGCAUGUACCUGGUCACCAUGUUGGGGAACCUGCUCAUAAUCAUGGCCAUAGUUUCUGACCAGCACCUCCACACCCCCAUGUACUUCUUCCUGGCCAACCUGUCCUUCAUCGAUACCUGCU